CGGUACAAAGAGAAGCAACCUCGCGAGGGUGAGCAAAUCUCAAAAAGCCGUUCUCCAGUUCGGAUUGAAGUCUGCAACUCGACUUCAUGAAGUCGGAAUCGCUAGUAAUCGCGGAUCAGCAUGCCGCGGUGAAUACGUUCCCGGGCCUU
rnacentral:rRNA from 1 species